GCUAAAAAGAAAAAAACACUAUAUUCUCCAAAAAAUAUCUCGCCCUAGUUGUUGCUCCAAAUUAGCGAUCAAAAUUUCUCAUUGAAUGCUCAAAUCAUCAGCUAAAUCUCUAUCAUUUCCAAUCAUAGCUUCCAUUAUCGGUAUGUUUCUCAUCUCUCUGUAAAGACUUGAGUAAAGCUUUUUGUUCCUGGCGAUUUCUCAUCUCUCUGUAAACAUCAGCUUCACAGUAUGAGAAGAAGAAUCUAUCAUCGGGUCAAUUCCUGGUGAUUGCUGAUGGCGGGUUUAAAAUCGAAAACCCUAAGUUCUUUUUUUUUCAAGAUUUGGUGUUCUCUAUGUAUAUUGUUUUGUGAUAAAGUGUAAAGGAGCUACCUUGAUCUCUAAUUUAUAUGUAUCUAUAUGUGUUUUGUAUUUUUCCCAAGAUUUGGUGUUCUUUUGUUCUUUGAUGAAGUGUAAAGGAGCUAUCUUGAUGAGUAGUUUGUAUGAUAUUAAGGAUUGAAGAUCAUAAGAAGACACAGUAGAGAAUUUGCACUUAUUGCAAUUACGCCGAUGCACUGGCAUAUUUCAAGUUUUCAUAAGAUUAAAGAAAGAUCUAAAGGCUAAUAGUAGAAGUCAGAUUGUCAGUGAAUUUAGAAUCAAAGGUGGAACACUAAAUUGCAGGACAGGAAAUGCUCCAAGUACAAUUUGGGCCAAUUAGUCGAGGAGAAUACAAGAACUUAUGCGCCAAUUUGGUACUAUAUUAUGUCAGGUAAUCUGAUGUUUACUCAUAUGGUGUCAUACUUUUACGACUUUUGACUGCAAGACCAGCUUUAGGUAUAGUGAGAAACAUCUAAGUGUGCUUUGGAAAGUGGGAAGUUAGGUUCAGUUUUGGACUUUUUAGCUGGUGAUUGGCCAAUUGAUCAAGCGGAACUGUUAGCUUAUGUAGCACUGAGGUGCCAUGAGAAAGAUCCUUUAAAUCGGCCUAAUAUGCUCUCAGAAGUUUGGCCAACAUUUGAGCUAAAGAGAGGAUAUGCACACCACACUCAAAUCUGAUUACUUCAUCUUAGAGUUCCACGAGUAAAAAUGAAUUCCUCCUCAUUUCGUUUGUCCUAUUUUUCAGAUUUUCCACCUUCUCUGCCUGCUCUGGCUGCUCGGCUGCCUACAGCUCAAAAGAGUAAAAUUCAUGUAGGCAUGUUGGCCAGGAUAAUAGAUGGAUCAGUAUUUCUUAUCCUUUUGAUCAUUGGUAUCUUGUACAAGAGAGGUUGUCUAGCCAAAAAAGCUGCUGAUAGAGAACUUAAAGGACUGGAGCUAUAAGCUGGACUAUUUACUCUCAGACAGAUUAAAGCUGCGAUAAAGAAUUUUGACCCAGCUAACAAGAUAGGGGAAGGUGGUUUUGGUUCAGUUUAUAAGGAUGUCAUGGAAGAUCCACGUAUAGCAGUGGAUGGUUAUAUAUAUAAAGGCGAUGCAAUAAAAGGAUGGUUGUACAGUGGACACGAUACUUCUCCGAUGACAAACCUCAAUCUCGAUACCUGUGUUUGAUUCCCAAUUAUGCUCUCUAUCGCAUAAUUCAGGAAUAGCAGCAGCAGUCCUGAAACUUAUUUAGGUCUAUAAUGCCUUCUAUAAAUAAAAACAGCUUCAAAGAUGAACUUUGUAUUGAUAUAAAAAGUUAGUCAUGUCUUGUGGUAGUUCCACCGCGUUAGUACUUGGAUUUGAGUUAUUUGAACUUGUCAAGUAAGUAUAUAGGUGUUACUACAGUACUGAGAUGUACAGAUUUUAUCACUAUGUAUACUGGAUUUGAUUUUCGAUAGCAAUUUUGAUAUAAAUUGAUGAAAUUUAUUAUUUUUUGAUA